CACGGGGGGAGCAAGCGUUGUUCGGAAUCACUGGGCGUAAAGGGCGUGUAGGCGGUCAAGUAAGUGGAAUGUGAAACGCCUCGGCUUACCCGAGGACCUGCAUCCCAAAUUGCUUGGCUUGAGUAUGGGAGAGGAUGAGGGAAUUCCUGGUGUAGCGGUGAAAUGCGUAGAUAUCAGGAGGAACACCGGUGGCGAAAGCGCUCAUCUGGCCCAAUACUGACGCUGAGGCGCGAAAGCUAGGGGAGCAAACGGG
rnacentral:rRNA from 1 species